rnacentral:misc_RNA from 1 species
AAGUCGUAACAAGGUUUCCGUAGGUGAACCUGCGGAAGGAUCAUUAACAUGUAUCCAACGUUAAUCCCCCCCGUGCACCUUCAUUUCUCUUGACUAAGAGUUAAACAACCUUCUUACCAAGAGCGUUCUCCAGGAGUAGCGUACUUUUUUGCUUGUGGCUGUUUGGGCGACGUCUCGUCCUUGGCUGCCAAGGUAAAAAGUUCGUCGACCUUUUUUGCUUGUGGCUGUAUGAGACCGUCAUCUCUUGGCUGCGAGGGAAAAGUUCGUCGACUCCUGGUACGGCGUCCCAUCAGAAGUCGCGAAUUUGACUGUGGCAUUACAGGGCAUCGGGGUUUGGUCUUGGGCGCAUUCGAAAGUAUUCCGGUGUGGUUUCAGGAGCCGGUAACCCGAACAACUGUUAACAAUGGAUAUCUUGGCUCUC